rnacentral:rRNA from 1 species
GAUGAACGCUGGCGGCGUGCCUAAUGCAUGCAAGUCGAGCGAACAGACGAGGAGCUUGCUCCUCUGACGUUAGCGGCGGACGGGUGAGUAACACGUGGAUAACCUACCUAUAAGACUGGGAUAACUUCGGGAAACCGGAGCUAAUACCGGAUAAUAUAUUGAACCGCAUGGUUCAAUAGUGAAAGACGGUUUUGCUGUCACUUAUAGAUGGAUCCGCGCCGCAUUAGCUAGUUGGUAAGGUAACGGCUUACCAAGGCAACGAUGCGUAGCCGACCUGAGAGGGUGAUCGGCCACACUGGAACUGAGACACGGUCCAGACUCCUACGGGAGGCAGCAGUAGGGAAUCUUCCGCAAUGGGCGAAAGCCUGACGGAGCAACGCCGCGUGAGUGAUGAAGGUCUUCGGAUCGUAAAACUCUGUUAUUAGGGAAGAACAAAUGUGUAAGUAACUAUGCACGUCUUGACGGUACCUAAUCAGAAGGCCACGGCUAACUACGUG